ACAACACACAACAUUCCAGGAAUGUACUACCAAAGUUCUAUCAAUAUUUGAAUGUCCUGGACAUUUAGGGAACAUUCGGUGAACAUCUGUUUAAAUUAUUCCUGGAAUGUUACCAUAAGACAUUCUGUGAACAUACUACCAAUGUUCCUAUAUUUUAAGUUGCGAAAUAAUACAUACGUGUAACAGAUACAACAUUACUUAUAACAUACCAGACAAACUAAGUGACACUUUAGGCCUACAGUGCAAUAAUAUGUCAAAUUUAAAGAGUUUCCCAAGUUCAAUUAAUACAAUAUUAUAAACAUACAAAUGUAAUAAAAAUUAUUGUUCGCGAAUAUUCAAUUUGGAAUGCGAUUUUGUUAAUAAAAAAAAUACUUAUAACUUAUGCAAAACCCAAGAGAGGCAUUUAUAUUUAUUUCUUUUGCGUUCAUUUUCAAAUUCGCCGUGCAUAUAUUUUUGUGCAUGGCGCUUGAGAGGGCAUCACGUGACUAAAAACGACCAACCAACGACCUCGCUUCGGCCAUCUUGGCAUCUUCAUCUUGGCCACCUUGCUUUGCCGUGGGUGGAUCGUUGUUUGUAUUAUUUGUGCUUUUUAAGAAUAUUUUUUUAAUUCGGAUACUUUUAUAAUAGCUUUAAUAGUAUUAUUAACAUAGUGAAUAAAAUGGUGUCCUGUUUUUAACGCAGUUGGAGUAGCAGAAACAAAUAAUGUAGAUAAAAAAAUCUGCAGGAAUAACGUUUCAAUUAUGACAGAAGCUCAAAACAAAUGACUGUGAAUGAAAAGCCCUAUUAAAAGCUUUCCAGAAGAUCCUGCGAAGAAGACAUGAACUAUAGAUCAGAUUUGUUAAUAGAGGAGUAUGUUCAAAA
rnacentral:lncRNA from 1 species